GUCUUCUAAACUCAAGGGUAUACAAGCUCAGUCGCUCCAGUCUUUCAGCGUAAGGUAGUCCCGACAUUCCAGGUAUUGACCUCGUGAACCUCGCUGCACU